rnacentral:hammerhead_ribozyme from 1 species
AUCUAGCUAACAAGUCCUAAACAGAGCGAAACGCGCGUCCUAGAU